rnacentral:rRNA from 1 species
CCUACGGGAGGCAGCAGUGAGGAAUAUUGGUCAAUGGACGAGAGUCUGAACCAGCCACGUAGCGUGAAGGAUGAAUGCCCUAUGGGUUGUAAACUUCUUUUAUAUGGGACUAAAAUGUUCCACGUGUGGGAUUUUGUAUGUACAAUAUGAAUAAGGAUCGGCUAACACCGUGCCAGCAGCCGCGUUAAUCCGGAGGUUCCGGGCGUUAUCCGGAUUUAUUGGUUGUAACGGGAGCGUAGGUGGAUUGUUAAGUCAGUGGUGAAAGUUUCGGGCUCAACCGUAAAAUUGCAGUUGAAACUGGCAGUCUUGAGUACAGUAGAGGUGGGCGGAAUUCGUGGUGUAGCGGUGAAAUGCUUAGAUAUCACGAAGAACUCCGAUUGCGAAGGCAGCUCACUGGACUGCAACUGACACUGAGGCUCGAAAGUGUGGGUAGCAAACAGGAUUAGAUACCCUUGUAGUC